GCGGACGUGGUGCAGGGCGCACCGCUGCUGCACAUCCUGGGAUAGUUGUGUUGCACCAGCAGCUAGACGGGGUUCGACUCCCCGCGCCCGCG